UUAAGGACAAUUACAAGGAGCCAAAAGAAUCGAGCUACAAAACAGAAGCAUGUUCGUCAUGCGAACUGCAGCAAACCAAUUAAACGAUUGGAGACGAGAAGAAGCAUUGCACGUGGAGGCGGCAUUUAUUUUUCCAACAGACGGAAUAGGCAAUGGUGCUAUUAGACGUCCGGAAGUCGGAUACCCUAAAGUCAAAUAUAAACUGGGGUCCACUCGAAUUUAACAGUAUCACAUAACAAUACCUCACUUACCCACCUUUUUAAAUCUGUUUUUGGGAUGUCGUUGAUAAAUAAUACCCGAAAUAUUGUAAAACGUGAAGAAAAUAUAACAAAAUUACAUUUUAUUGCUUGUCCUUAGGCCCUAAGGCUUAGGGUAACCACUUGCAAAUCUUACUUUGCACUCGUUAGUUGUGCUACCAAGAAAUCAGCCGUGCUGAAAUUCAAUAUAAACACGGUUGUCCGAGUGUGAAGUAUGGCACGUGGCACACUAGCUAUACCUACAAUACUGCUGAGGCCGUAAAGAAUUUUAAAAGUUGUAAUAUCAGUUAAUUUGUUUGCGUUUUUAACGAGCACGGCAAAGUUUAAGUGUUUUGGUUUUAUCGUUAUUUUGGCAUUUUUUCCCUUCAUCAUCUGUCGAUGAUCCAUAUCGAAGACCGAAAUGCCGAUAAUUGAGACUAAAAGGCUAAAAGUUCGACGCCGUGGAAAGUUAUGCUUGAGUUAUGGUUUCCACCCCACCCUAAAACGACGUCGUAACUGCGACAAUAAAAUGUGUGAUACGAUGUAAAUGAUGUCCGUCGAUUUUGUCGUCUGUCAGUGUGAGUUCCUUACACGGUGAGUACGAUACCGCGCAAGUAAUGUAUAAUAAUUUAUGUAAGUAUAAUACAGUAGUAAUUUACUCGCGGACACACGACAACCCAAAGAGUAUUAUAUUAUGCUG